GUCUAUGACCAUACUACCCUGGAUGUGCCCAAUCUUGUCUCAUAUCUAAAACCAAGCAGGAUCAGGUCUGCUUAGUACUUGAAUGGGAGACCUCCUGGGAAUAUUGGGUGCUGUAGGCU
ensembl:rRNA 5S_rRNA 5S ribosomal RNA